AUGAAGUUUUUCCAUUUUCUUCAAUUUUAAUAGUGUGGGUAUGCAUAUACUAGUACUAACCACCCCAACUCAAAGUCCAUAGCUCUUUCUUUUGCAGCUUUGUCAUCUGAUUCAGAAUCAUAAGGUUCAAAAUAAUAAAUUUUGUGUGAAUUUGACGGGAUCUGUGCUCUGGCAGGACGUGCUUGGCCGUAGAUUUUCACGCACCGCAUUAUACGCUAUUCGCCGCGGUGCCGUGCGUGUCCAACGAUUUCCACGACUUAAUCAUUGUAACCAAACCAAUUUUCGUGGAAUCGUUGCCCCGGCGAAUACGGUAUCAUGCUGGCCGUGAAUAUCAUGCUGGCCGUGAAAGUGUACGGACAUGCACGUCCUGCCAGAGCCCAGAUCCCGUCAAGUCACACAAAAUUUAUGGAGGAGCACACCCUACCAGAGAUGAGCACACCGUACCAGAGCAGGCUCAGGAUCUUGCAAAUGGAGAAGAUGAGCCUGGACUAGCAAAGAGUGUAAUGGUGCCAUUACCCGCUCAAGGAGCUUCCGGUAAUGUGUCAAAAGAGGAGAAAGAGUUUUGGGAGAAGCCCGAUGGAGAAGGGUAUAAACCAGACCAAAGCAGAACCAUGUGAAAUGGAGCUUCUUAAUGAGUCGGGGUUUAGCAAUGCGUCAUUGCAACAAUGCAAAGGUAAUCUUUCUACCCAGAAUUUCCACAUAUCUAGAUAUUACUUGCGCAUUACUUACGGUAACUGUAUGGCUAAUUUAAAAACUAUUGCAAAUUUUUUGCCUGGAUAUGUCCUUUAGUGAUUGAGUUGGGACACUGUGACUGGUUUUAACUUUCUUCUUUGCCUGGAUGAACCUUAUAACUUCUACUUCCAUGGACCUUAAAUGCAAAUUCUCUGAGGCUGCCUGUGAACAUUAAAAUUAUAUUUUAGAUGCUCGAGCAUAUUAUGUACAAAAAUGACAAAGAAAAGACUGAAUAAGUUGUCAGCAAGUAUAUGCUCUUAGUCUUUCUGUUUAGUAGAUAAAUAGGAAUGAAUAAUUUUUUGUCUAUGUAUGAAACUUUUAGAAAAUCAAUUGGAUCUCCUUAUUUUUUUUGUAAUAUUAUUCUUUAUCUUGCCCUUUUAUGUUCUUAGUCUGCUCUUGUUUAUGAAUAUAACCUUUUCAUGGGGUUUGCAGGUUUCUUCUAAGGCUCUCUUCUCACCUUUAAUUUGCAUGUUGAUAAAUGCUGUUGCUCCAGGGUUUAUUGCCUCUGAUUUGAUUGUCGAGAAGAUAUUGAGAAGAAAAUAUUGGAAACCAUCCCUUUAGGGCAAUAUGGGCAGCCAGAAGAAGUUGCUGGACUAGUGGAAUACUUAGCACUUCAUCCUUCUGCCAGUUUCAUCACUGGACAGGUGUUUACCAUCGAUGGAGGAAUGGUUAUGCAAAUGAUUGAUAAAAUCAUAGCUGAAGUGGAUGUCUUACUGGUUUAGGCCAAGAAUUUGACAAUAUCAUAGCUGAAGUUCGUGAAGCUCAACCAGAAUACCUUGCUGGAAGGCUAAACAUGAGUCAUACUCAGAGAAGACUCGCUGGUUUAUGUCCUCUAAAUGCAUUAGAAAUUGCAAGACUUUUGAAGGCUUUAGGAGCCCCAAGAAGUGCACGCAUAUAUGUAGCAGGAGGCGAGCCAUUUGGGGGUUCUCAGGCAUUGCAGCCACUUGCAGCAGAAUAUCAAAUUUUAGAAAUGCUGGCGAAGGAAGGAGAACUUGCACCUUAUAACAAGAAAGCUUCUGCUAUGGCUGCAAUUGAUUACAUUGUUUCUUUAAGCAGCAAUGUGUUUAUACCAUCCCAUGGAGGGAACAUGGGACGGCUUAUGCAGGUGUAAUUAAGUAAUAAGUAGUGAAAUUUACCAUUAAUUGAAAAUGAAGCUAAAAAAACAGCAACUAGUUAAUGUUUUCUGUUAUAUUGUCAGGGUCACAGAGCCUAUGUAGGUCAUUGGAAAUGCAUAAAGCCCAAUAAGCGAGCAAUGAUUCAUUUCUUUGAAGACAACUCUCUUUCUGAUGCAGAAUUUGGAAGUAUAGUGAGGAUGCUGCAUAGGAAAUCUAGAGGACAGCCUGAGCCAAGAAGUAAUAAGAGAGAUAGAGAUGUGAUUGCAUACCCAGUACCUGAGUGCAUGUGCAAGCACACUACACCCAUUUUUUGAACCAACUCAAAGAAUGACAAUGUAUAUAUAUAUAGACUUGUUCUGUGAACUAUUUUAGCUUGGCUUUAUAUAUAUCUUGUUGGAAACAAAUUUAAAAUGUUAUAAUAAUAAUAGAGAUAAAAUGAUAAAGUUUAAAAGGUUUA